rnacentral:rRNA from 1 species
CACGCCGUAAACGAUGCAUACUAGGAAUAUGGAGAAUCGACCCUCUGUGUUUCGAAGCUAACGCGUUAAGUAUGCCGCCUGGGUAGUACGGCCGCAAGGCUAAAACUCAAAGGAAUUGACGGGGACCCGCACAAGCGGUGGAACAUGUGGCUUAAUUCGAUAACAACCGAAGAACCUCACCAGGACUUGACAUCUAGAGAAUCCCUGUGAAAGCAGGGAGUGCCGCAAGGAACUCUAAGACAGGUGU